CCAGCCCGCUCAGAAACUCAAGGAAUUGACGGGGCCCGCGACAAGCGGAGGAACAUGUGGUUUAAUUCGAUGAUACGCGAGGAACCUUACCCGGGCUUGAAAUGCAUCUGACCGGCCUUGAAAGAGGUUUUCCCUUCGGGGCAGAUGUGUAGGUGCUGCAUGGUUGUCGUCAGCUCGUGCCGUGAGGUGUCGGCUUAAGUGCCAUAACGAGCGCAACCCUCAUCAUUAGUUACCAUCAGGUAAGGCUGGGGACUCUAAUGAGACUGCCAUCGUAAGAUGUGAGGAAGGUGGGGAUGACGUCAAAUCAGCACGGCCCUUACGUCCGGGGCGACACACGUGUUACAAUGGGUGGUACAAAGGGCAGCUACCUGGCGACAGGAUGCUAAUCUCCAAAACCACUCUCAGUUCGGAUCGGAGUCUGCAACUCGACUCCGUGAAGCUGGAUUCGCUAGUAAUCGCGCAUCAGCCACGGCGCGGUGAAUACGUUCCCGGGCCUU
rnacentral:rRNA from 1 species